rnacentral:rRNA from 1 species
UAGUCCACGCCGUAAACGAUGUUCACUCGCUGCUAGCGAUACACAGUUAGUGGCUAAGCGAAAGUGAUAAGUGAACCACCUGGGGAGUACGUCGGCAACGAUGAAACUCAAAGGAAUUGACGGGGGCCCGCACAAGCGGUGGAACAUGUGGUUUAAUUCGAUGAUACGCGAGGAACCUUACCUGGACUUAAAUGUAGAUUGCAUAGAGUAGAAAUAUUCUUUUCUUCGGACUAUCUACAAGGUGCUGCAUGGUUGUCGUCAGCUCGUGCCGUGAGGUGUCGGGUUAAGUCCCAUAACGAGCGCAACCCCUAUCGUUAGUUGCUAACAGGUCAAGCUGAGGACUCUGACGAGACUGCCGGUGUAAACCGCGAGGAAGGUGGGGAUGACGUCAAAUCAGCACAGCCCUUACGUCCGGGGCUACACACGUGUUACAAUGGUCGGUACAAAGGGCAGCUACUGCGUGAGCAGAUGCGAAUCUCUAAAACCGGUCUCAGUUCGGAUCGAAGUCUG